CCGGGAUGGACACACCUCUGGUGGACCGGUUGUCGCGCCAGCGGCACAGCCGGGUAGCUAUGUGUGGACGGGAUAACCGCUGAAAGCAUCUAAGCGGGAAACCCACCUCAAAACCAGUUUUCCCUUGAGAGCCGUGGUAGACGACCACGUUGAUAGGCCAGGUGUGGAAGUGCGGCAACGCAUGUAGCUUACUGGUACUAAUCGCUCGAUUGGCUUGAUUAC
rnacentral:rRNA from 1 species